UACGAAGGGGGCUAGCGUUGCUCGGAUUGACUGGGCGUAAAGGGCGCGUAGGCGGUUCGUACAGUCAGACGUGAAAUUCCUGGGCUCAACCUGGGGGCUGCGUUUGAUACGUGCGGACUUGAGUACGGAAGAGGGUCGUGGAAUUCCCAGUGUAGAGGUGAAAUUCGUAGAUAUUGGGAAGAACACCGGUGGCGAAGGCGGCGACCUGGUCCGAUACUGACGCUGAGGCGCGAAAGCGUGGGGAGCAAACAGG
rnacentral:rRNA from 1 species